AAGGGUAAGCAAUAUUCAGACCUCCAGUUCCAUUAUCAAGCUGUGAUUGUGAUAUGAAGAUGCAGAAGUCUGUCUCUGUUGUUCCUCUGUUGUUGCUCCUCUGUCUGUCUGUGGUAGGGGUCACCAAAGGUCAAGGGGUAGAGGUCACCAAAGCUGUAGAGUUCAAGACGGAAAACGAGGUGGUCACAACACCAGCAGAUGGAAAGACAGAUGGACGGACAGACUCUGAGCCAGACCUCUGGGCUGAGCUGAGAGCGCUGAGAGACAUGGUGGUGGAACAGAGAGUGGAACUGGCUGUCACUCAAAGUCAACUGGAGGAUAUGAAGACACAGAAUUCAGAGAUGCAGUUCAGGCUGAGAACUGCAGAGAACUAGGUGAAGCUACUGAAGGCUGAGAUUCAAGAAGGGAAUGUAGCGUUCUCUGUUACUUUGGGAGUUGGGGGUUACUAUGGUGGUUACUAUGGACCCACAUCCAAUACCCUGGUCUACAAGGACAUCCUGACAAACAUCGGCAAUCACUACAACCCAACUAAUGGUCACUUCACAGCCCCAGUGAGGGGAGUGUACUACUUCAGAAUCGCCUUGUUCGGAAUCGUAGAAAGGAACAGCGGCAUACAUUGCAACCUCCGCACAAAUGGCAAUGUAACCCUGAAGGCAGGUCUUUGGGAAUACAUUGCAAAAUCCCAGCACCAUGUAGCUAAUGCUGCCUCUCUGCUGCUAGAGCAGGGAGAUGUAGUUGACGUUCAACUGGGUGGAACCACAAUCUAUGAUGAUCAUCACAAGAGAAACACCUUCAGUGGCUUCCUGCUCUUCCCAGUGUGAGAUGAUAAUCAGUGAACCACAAUGGAAAUAAGCCUUCAGCCAACGUGUGUUUAUCCUCUAUAUUUGUUUUUAUUGAUUGCAAUGUUGUGUCUGGCUGGAGCACCCUUCUCCUUUUGAUUCUAAAAUAAAUUAAAUCGAUUGAUCGAUCAAUAAAUAAAUCAACCAAG